UACAGAGGGUGCAAGCGUUAAUCGGAGUGACUGGGCGUAAAGGGCGCGUAGGCGGUUAUGUAAGUGAGAUGUGAAAUCCCUGGGCUUAACCUAGGAAUUGCAUUUCAAACUGUGUAGCUAGAGUGCAGUAGAGGGUGGUGGAAUUUCCGGUGUAGCGGUGAAAUGCGUAGAGAUCGGAAGGAACAUCAGUGGCGAAGGCGGCCACCUGGACUGUAACUGACGCUGAGGCGCGAGAGCGUGGGGAGCAAACAGG
rnacentral:rRNA from 1 species